GACGAACGCUGGCGGCGUGCUUAACACAUGCAAGUCGAACGAAGUGGCGAACGGGUGAGUAACGCGUAAUCAACCUGCCCUUCAGAGGGGCACAACAGUUGGAAACGACUGCUAAUACCGCAUACUGAAGGAGGAGUUUGCGGCUGAUUGGCUAGUUGGAGGGGUAACGGCCCACGAAGGCGAGGAACAGUAGCAGGACUGAGAGGAUGAACGGCCACCUUGGGACGGAGACACGGCCCAUACUCCUACGGAAGGGAGCAGUGGGGAAACUUCCGCAAUGGACGGAAGUCUGACGGAGCAACGCCGCGGGAUUGAUGAGCGCCGUCGGGUUGGAAAGCUCUGUUAAUCGGGACGCGGUACCGGAAUAGAAAGCAACGGCUAACUACGUGCCAGCAGCCGCGGUAAUUC
rnacentral:rRNA from 1 species